AUGAACGCUAGCUACAGGCUUAACACAUGCAAGUCGAGGGGCAUCAGGAAGAAAGCUUGCUUUCUUUGCUGGCGACCGGCGCACGGGUGAGUAACACGUAUCCAACCUGCCCUUUACUCGGGGAUAGCCUUUCGAAAGAAAGAUUAAUACCCGAUAGCAUAAUGAUUCCGCAUGGUUUCAUUAUUAAAGGAUUCCGGUAAAGGAUGGGGAUGCGUUCCAUUAGGUUGUUGGUGAGGUAACGGCCCACCAAGCCUUCGAUGGAUAGGGGUUCUGAGAGGAAGGUCCCCCACAUUGGAACUGAGACACGGUCCAAACUCCUACGGGAGGCAGCAGUGAGGAAUAUUGGUCAAUGGGCGCUAGCCUGAACCAGCCAAGUAGCGUGAAGGAUGAAGGCUCUAUGGGUCGUAAACUUCUUUUAUAUAAGAAUAAAGUGCAGUAUGUAUACUGUUUUGUAUGUAUUAUAUGAAUAAGGAUCGGCUAACUCCGUGCCAGCAGCCGCGGUAAUACGGAGGAUCCGAGCGUUAUCCGGAUUUAUUGGGUUUAAAGGGAGCGUAGGUGGACUGGUAAGUCAGUUGUGAAAGUUUGCGGCUCAACCGUAAAAUUGCAGUUGAUACUGUCAGUCUUGAGUACAGUAGAGGUGGGCGGAAUUCGUGGUGUAGCGGUGAAAUGCUUAGAUAUCACGAAGAACUCCGAUUGCGAAGGCAGCUCACUGGACUGCAACUGACACUGAUGCUCGAAAGUGUGGGUAUCAAACAGGAUUAGAUACCCUGGUAGUCCACACAGUAAACGAUGAAUACUCGCUGUUUGCGAUAUACAGUAAGCGGCCAAGCGAAAGCAUUAAGUAUUCCACCUGGGGAGUACGCCGGCAACGGUGAAACUCAAAGGAAUUGACGGGGGCCCGCACAAGCGGAGGAACAUGUGGUUUAAUUCGAUGAUACGCGAGGAACCUUACCCGGGCUUAAAUUGCAGUGGAAUGAUGUGGAAACAUGUCAGUGAGCAAUCACCGCUGUGAAGGUGCUGCAUGGUUGUCGUCAGCUCGUGCCGUGAGGUGUCGGCUUAAGUGCCAUAACGAGCGCAACCCUUAUCUUUAGUUACUAACAGGUUAUGCUGAGGACUCUAGAGAGACUGCCGUCGUAAGAUGUGAGGAAGGUGGGGAUGACGUCAAAUCAGCACGGCCCUUACGUCCGGGGCUACACACGUGUUACAAUGGGGGGUACAGAAGGCAGCUAGCGGGUGACCGUAUGCUAAUCCCAAAAUCCUCUCUCAGUUCGGAUCGAAGUCUGCAACCCGACUUCGUGAAGCUGGAUUCGCUAGUAAUCGCGCAUCAGCCACGGCGCGGUGAAUACGUUCCCGGGCCUUGUACACACCGCCCGUCAAGCCAUGGGAGCCGGGGGUACCUGAAGUACGUAACCGCAAGGA
rnacentral:rRNA from 1 species